GACGAACGCUGGCGGCGUGCUUAACACAUGCAAGUCGAACGGAAAGGCCCUGCUUUUGCGGGGUGCUCGAGUGGCGAACGGGUGAGUAACACGUGAGUAACCUGCCCUUGACUUUGGGAUAACUUCAGGAAACUGGGGCUAAUACCGGAUAGGAUCUCCUGCUGCAUGGUGGGGGUUGGAAAGUUUCGGCGGUUGGGGAUGGAAUCGCGGCUUAUCAGCUUGUUGGUGGGGUAGUGGUUUACCAAGGCUUUGACGGGUAGCCGGCCUGGGAGGGUGACCGGCCACAUUGGGACUGAGAUACGGCCCAGACUCCUACGGGAGGCAGCAGUGGGGAAUAUUGCGCAAUGGGCGGAAGCCUGAUGCAGCAACGCCGCGUGCGGGAUGACGGCCUUCGGGUUGUAAACCGCUUUCGCCUGUGACGAAGCGUGAGUGACGGUAAUGGGUAAAGAAGCACCGGCUAACUACGUG
rnacentral:rRNA from 1 species